GCCGGGGUGCCCGAGCGGUCCAAGGGGACGGGCUUGAGACCCGUUGUCCCAUGCGGGACGCGUGGGUUCAAAUCCCACCCCCGGCG
rfam:Caldisphaera lagunensis DSM 15908, complete genome.